rnacentral:rRNA from 1 species
GGUGCUAACGUCCGUCGUGAAGAGGGAAACAACCCAGACCGCCAGCUAAGGUCCCAAAGUCAUGGUUAAGUGGGAAACGAUGUGGGAAGGCCCAGACAGCCAGGAUGUUGGCUUAGAAGCAGCCAUCAUUUAAAGAAAGCGUAAUAGCUCACUGGUCGAGUCGGCCUGCGCGGAAGAUGUAACGGGGCUAAACCAUGCACCGAAGCUGCGGCAGCGACACUGUGUGUUGUUGGGUAGGGGAGCGUUCUGUAAGCCUGUGAAGGUGUGUCGUGAGGCAUGCUGGAGGUAUCAGAAGUGCGAAUGCUGACAUAAGUAACGAUAAAGCGGGUGAAAAGCCCGCUCGCCGGAAGACCAAGGGUUCCUGUCCAACGUUAAUCGGGGCAGGGUGAGUCGACCCCUAAGGCGAGGCCGAAAGGCGUAGUCGAUGGGAAACGGGUUAAUAUUCCCGUACUUGGUGUUACUGCGAAGGGGGGACGGAGAAGGCUAUGUUGGCCGGGCGACGGUUGUCCCGGUUUAAGCGUGUAGGUGUGUGUUCCAGGUAAAUCCGGUUCACUUUAACACUGAGGCGUGACGACGAGGCACUACGGUGCUGAAGCAACAAAUGCCCUGCUUCCAGGAAAAGCCUCUAAGCAUCAGGUAACAUCAAAUCGUACCCCAAACCGACACAGGUGGUCAGGUAGAGAAUACCAAGGCGCUUGAGAGAACUCGGGUGAAGGAACUAGGCAAAAUGGUGCCGUAACUUCGGGAGAAGGCACGCUGACACGUAGGUGAAGUGAUUUACUCAUGGAGCUGAAGUCAGUCGAAGAUACCAGCUGGCUGCAACUGUUUAUUAAAAACACAGCACUGUGCAAACACGAAAGUGGACGUAUACGGUGUGACGCCUGCCCGGUGCCGGAAGGUUAAUUGAUGGGGUCAGCGCAAGCGAAGCUCCUGAUCGAAGCCCCGGUAAACGGCGGCCGUAACUAUAACGGUCCUAAGGUAGCGAAAUUCCUUGUCGGGUAAGUUCCGACCUGCACGAAUGGCGUAAUGAUGGCCAGGCUGUCUCCACCCGAGACUCAGUGAAAUUGAACUCGCUGUGAAGAUGCAGUGUACCCGCGGCAAGACGGAAAGACCCCGUGAACCUUUACUAUAGCUUGACACUGAACAUUGAGCCUUGAUGUGUAGGAUAGGUGGGAGGCUUUGAAGUGUGGACGCCAGUCUGCAUGGAGCCGACCUUGAAAUACCACCCUUUAAUGUUUGAUGUUCUAACGUGGACCCGUAAUCCGGGUUGCGGACAGUGUCUGGUGGGUAGUUUGACUGGGGCGGUCUCCUCCUAAAGAGUAACGGAGGAGCACGAAGGUUGGCUAAUCCUGGUCGGACAUCAGGAGGUUAGUGCAAUGGCAUAAGCCAGCUUGACUGCGAGCGUGACGGCGCGAGCAGGUGCGAAAGCAGGUCAUAGUGAUCCGGUGGUUCUGAAUGGAAGGGCCAUCGCUCAACGGAUAAAAGGUACUCCGGGGAUAACAGGCUGAUACCGCCCAAGAGUUCAUAUCGACGGCGGUGUUUGGCACCUCGAUGUCGGCUCAUCACAUCCUGGGGCUGAAGUAGGUCCCAAGGGUAUGGCUGUUCGCCAUUUAAAGUGGUACGCGAGCUGGGUUUAGAACGUCGUGAGACAGUUCGGUCCCUAUCUGCCGUGGGCGCUGGAGAACUGAGGGGGGCUGCUCCUAGUACGAGAGGACCGGAGUGGACGCAUCACUGGUGUUCGGGUUGUCAUGCC